GACGAACGCUGGCGGCGUGCCUAACACAUGCAAGUCGAGCGAGUGGAUCUCCUUCGGGAGUGAAGCUAGCGGCGGACGGGUGAGUAACACGUGGGCAACCUGCCUCAUAGAGGGGAAUAGCCUUUCGAAAGGAAGAUUAAUACCGCAUAAGAUUGUAGCUUCGCAUGAAGUAGCAAUUAAAGGAGCAAUCCGCUAUGAGAUGGGCCCGCGGCGCAUUAGCUAGUUGGUGAGGUAACGGCUCACCAAGGCGACGAUGCGUAGCCGACCUGAGAGGGUGAUCGGCCACAUUGGGACUGAGACACGGCCAAGACUCCUACGGGAGGCAGCAGUGGGGAAUAUUGCACAAUGGGGGAAACCCUGAUGCAGCAACGCCGCGUGAGUGAUGACGGCCUUCGGGUUGUAAAGCUCUGUCUUCAGGGACGAUAAUGACGGUACCUGAGGAGGAAGCCACGGCUAACUACGUGCCAGCAGCCGCAGUAA
rnacentral:rRNA from 1 species